UACGAAGGGGGCUAGCGUUGUUCGGAAUCACUGGGCGUAAAGCGCACGUAGGCGGAUUGUUAAGUCAGGGGUGAAAUGCCAAGGCUCAACCUUGGAACUGCCUUUGAUACUGGCAAUCUCGAGUCCGGGAGAGGUGAGUGGAACUGCGAGUGUAGAGGUGAAAUUCGUAGAUAUUCGCAAGAACACCAGUGGCGAAGGCGGCUCACUGGCUCGGUACUGACGCUGAGGUGCGAAAGCGUGGGGAGCAAACAGG
rnacentral:rRNA from 1 species